GACGAACGCUGGCGGCGUGCUUAACACAUGCAAGUCGAACGAAGUGGCGAACGGGUGAGUAACGCGUAAUCAACCUGCCCUUCAGAGGGGGACAACAGUUGGAAACGACUGCUAAUACCGCAUACUGAAGUAGGGGAUUGCGUCUGAUUAGCUAGUUGGAGGGGUAACGGCCCACCAAGGCGAUGAUCAGUAGACGGGCUGAGAGGUUGAACGGCAAAAUGGGGACUGAGACACGGCCCAGACUACUACGGGAGGCAGCAGGGGGGAAACUUUCGCAAAGGACGAAAGUCUGACGGAGCAACGCAGCGUGAGUGAUGACGGCCUUCGGGUUGUAAAGAUCUGUUAAUCGGGACGCGGUACCGGAAUAGAAAGCAACGGCUAACUACGUGCCAGCAGCCGCGGUAAUUC
rnacentral:rRNA from 1 species